CCUACGGGUGGCAGCAGUGAGGAAUAUUGGUCAAUGGACGAGAGUCUGAACCAGCCAAGUAGCGUGAAGGAUGACUGCCCUAUGGGUUGUAAACUUCUUUUAUAAAGGAAUAAAACGCGGCACGUGUGCCUUUUUGCAUGUACCUUAUGAAUAAGGAUCGGCUAACUCCGUGCCAGCAGCCGCGGUAAUACGGAGGAUCCGAGCGUUAUCCGGGUUUAUUGGGUUUAAAGGGAGCGUAGAUGGGUUGUUAAGUCAGUUGUGAAAGUUUGCGGCUCAACCGUAAAAUUGCAAUUGAUACUGGCAGUCUAGAGUACAGUUGAGGUAGGCGGAAUGCGUGGUGUAGCGGUGAAAUGCUUAGAUAUCACGAAGAACCCCGAUUGCGAAGGCAGCAUACUAAACUGUGACUGACAUUGAUGCUCGAAAGUGUGGGUAUCAAACAGGAUUAGAUACCCUUGUAGUC
rnacentral:rRNA from 1 species